rnacentral:lncRNA from 1 species
CACCUUAUGCAUUGGGCCAUGAAGCUUUUUAUUGUUGCUGCUUGCUAGUGAGGUUCAAACCCACAUUAAUGAAAAGAAGAGAAUGCACUAUAUUCAUUAUGCCACAACCUUUUCUUCGUGAAAUUUUUUGUUAUAUAGUUGUUUCACGCGAUUGAUCUUUUGUACGAGACCAAUCACAUAUAAGUAUUUCUCAACCGAUCGAUUAUCAACAAAAAAAAAAUCAAAAUUUUUGUUACAUACAUUGUUUCACGCGAUUGAUCUCAUAUAUGAGACCCAUAACAUGUAAGUAUUUCUUCUUCUUCUUCUUUCUUUUUUCUUCUUUUCCAGAAUUUUUAUUUUUUUUUAUUUUUUUUAAAUAAUCGAUUGGGUGAGAAACAUUGUGUAAUACUUACAUGACUUGGAGCGCAGGGAGUCCGACCAGCUCACUAGGGAGCGACCCAUUAAGAUUCUCCUGCUUCAAAAUACUGCAAUGGGGGACAAAAUGUUUUAGUUAGAGGCAUCUUACUAUGCAUCCACCUUCAUUGUAUCCUAAUACAUUCUAAUUAAAAAUUGAUGAAUUCUUUUAAAAUGAAUACAUUCAACAUUCAGAUACACACAAAUUUAU